rnacentral:rRNA from 1 species
CAGUCGCCACGGUAAUACAGAGGGUGCAAGCGUUAAUCGGAAUUACUGGGCGUAAAGCGCGCGUAGGUGGUUUGUUAAGUUGGAUGUGAAGCCCCGGGCUCAACCUGGGAACUGCAUCCAAAACUGGCAAGCUAGAGUACGGUAGAGGGUGGUGGAAUUUCCUGUGUAGCGGUGAAAUGCGUAGAUAUAGGAAGGAACACCAGUGGCGAAGGCGACCACCUGGACUGAUACUGACACUGAGGUGCGAAAGCGUGGGGAGCAAACAGGAUUAGAUACCCCCGUAGUCCCUGUCUCCUAUACA